GCUGAUCUCGUUUUCCCAAUCGUCGUUUUCCUUUCUUAAUUACCCUCGGCAUGCAUGCGUUCAUCUUUUUGGAAUAUUCAUGGUGGAAAGUGGCGGUCAAAAACUUUCCGCGCCCUAACUGUAUAAGCUCCUGGACGACGAGGUUUAUCCGUGGAGACCGUCGACGGCUAUGAGAUUCUUUGUAUGAAUGGGCGCUCUCAUAAUGGCGACGUCGGUUAGUGGUGAUUCAAGAUUCUUCGAGUCUCUCUGUAAGAACUGGCAAUCUGGCCCCUCAGGCGGUCAAGGUUUUGGGCACAUGGUUUGAUUUGGGCUUGUAUAGGGCAAAAUCUCUUGGGCCGAGCAGUGCUUUAAAGCGCAUUAAGGCCGACGUGAGAUUUGUACAGGUGCUGGUUUUAAUGCGGGCGAUAGGCGACGUGGGCAUCUAAUCAUAGACGGUUCCUAAUCACAAAGAGCACAUCUUGUUCGCAUGACCAAUGCUGACGUGUUUGUGCAAUGAUGGUCUGGCCAAAUGAGCGUCAAUCACAACGGACUCGCUCCAGAGCCACGUGGUAGAGGAAAUUAAAUGCAGAAUAGGUUGGUCGCGGAAAAAUGUUUAAUAAAAUAUGGCGGGAACGGCGUUUUUUACUUCUUCGAAAUCGGAACGUCGCGUGAAUCUGGGCCGUUUUGGCCCCGAUCGAUCACAUCAGCCCUCCCAAUGUUGUAAUUAAAUGGGGUUUAAAAAACCUAUUCAUUCGCACAUUUCCAUUGUUUGGGUCGAAGUGCUGCUCCGUGUCCGAACUGCAACUCGCGUACCAGGUCGACGGUCCCGUUUAUGUUCUCUAAGACCACCUCGGAGGCGAAGAAUCUAGCAAUAAUCCCUGCCUUCUUGGAUAUCCAAUCAUCGUGGGGCGAAGGUUUCCUAUAUCCGUUAAACGAGCCAGUCUCCUCCAUUUCCACCAAUACCACCACCAAUUUCCCCAAGGGAUGAUACCUCGAGUCUUAUUACUAAGGAGGGGACGUCAUGUCCCCCGGCUGAACUGACAAGCCGAUCUACCUAAUUCAUUUCCCUCAGGUACGACUUCGGAUCCCCGGGAUGGCGAGACAAUUUCUAUCAGCCUGCCAAGGCGAAGUGGGGCGUUUUACGAAGCCGCUUUUCUGGCCGAUUUGAGCUUUCCCUUCACCGACCAUCAGGGAAAUGUUGAUUCACUACAAAUUUUGCCCCUGCACAGUAUCCCCCAACGCAUGGCGAUCAGUCAUAUGCUCAACUUGGUGAAUCUGGCGCCCUUUAAAAACGUCACUUGCCUAUGACGAAUUCCAGGUGCUUGUCUUCCCUCAACCCCUUACCUUACUCGGGGUGGUACUACUUUCAAGGCGAGCCCCCUGAGAGAAUCUGCUCCGAGGACUACGAGCAACGUGAAGGGGUUGAAGACGAGGUCUUUUUUUGCCUCGGGGGACGCAUGGGAGUUCCCCUUCGGGCACGACCACCAGCGCCAGUACCUCCGCGGGUCCCAGAUCUUGGGGAACGCAGGUAGUUCACUAUUUUUUUUUUAAAGCCCUUGUGGUCGUCUGAUAUGUCAUUUCAGGGAAAAGCUGCAACAAAUUGCCGACUCUGUCCGAGGUUGACGCCAGAGGACGGAGCGAUCUUUUGGGAAGAUAUGAGCCUGAAGGCUACUUUGAAGUUUCAUCAAAGGUCCUGGGUUCGCGAACCUUCACAAACAUUUUGGGUUGGUUUACUCUUCGGCGCUUUCCCACCAGGGCGGAGCAAACCACCCAACCUCGGGUUGACGAGGGUGAGUUCGUUCUUGCGAAGACUCGGUUGAAUACCUGGGACCCAUCAGACGGGAUAUCGGAGGGGCGAUUAGGAAGCCCAUCCUGGUAUCCCCGAUGAAACCCUUCUAAGAGUGGCUCAGGGGGAAGAUAAAGGACCCGUUAUGAUCUCCUAUCUGGAGGACGGUCCGGCUUCUCAGUUCAUUCAGGUUCGGUUUCCAUUUCGGAUUCACGAGUUGUCCCCCGAGCGCAGAUUCUGAUGGUAUAUUCUAGAAAACCAACUGUUUACUGUUUCCGGCUUCCUUAUCUGACAUAUCCUAGUGCGCUAUGUUCGCUAGUUAAGCCAAGGCCGAAAGGCACAAAGACGACAGUCCAAGGCCUCCCACCAAGGAGUGGGUUAUAUCGCGAGAAACGUACGCGGAAGGCGAAACCCCUUUAUCGAAAUCGGCGAGCCGGACUUGUCGAAGGGAAAGGAGCUGCGCCGCCCCCGCCGUAAAAGAUCAAGUCCAACGAGGGGCGAUCAUGCUAGAGGGCGUGUUAGUUGAGGCGGGACUUCUUGCCCCCUGGUGGUGACAUAGGAUCCGAAUCCUGUCGAUGCUUUCGGUGGCUCAGAGGUUGCUCACAGGGGUGAUUUCGGCUUUCGAUAAGGAAAGAGGUUGGACCACUUAUCCGAGAAUGAUUGGUCGCCAAAUCUUUCCUGCCUUGGGCCAGGUAAUUUGGGUGAAAAUCUUGGCGUUGUUUCUUUGAUAAAUACUGAGAUGUUUAUUUGGGCAGUGGUCGUGUUUUCUCUUCUCUCUUCCUCCCGCCUCCCACUAGGAGCAUCUUCACGAUAUAGCCUUCCAUCUGGCUCGCUGCAGAUUUCCGCCGAGCCUGGAAUUGGUAAAAACUCAAAACGAGCCCUUAAGGCGGAGAAUAAGCUGUCCGAGCUUAGCGAGGAAGGAUCAAAGGCCCGGCAACGAUGUGGAAACGAUCUGAAGGCCACUGUGGCGGAACUGCCAAUAACUAGCGAGGCCAAGGAGCUAGCAUUGAGGACUUCAAAGCCUCGGGAGAAUUCAAGCAAGCGGUUACAGAUUCCUGCUGCGACGUCUUCAGCGAGGGCUUUGAUUUUGCAGAGGCACUCAACCAUCAUUCCCCAACCUCGCGUUGACGGUUGGCGAAUAUGGCGAUGGACCGCCAAGUUUCGCCGAGGAAGAGGAGGCGAUGAAAGAAGGAGAAGCUCCCUGUGCAGGAGUUGCUCCCAAUGGUAAUAAUUUUUUUUUUUUAAUAUGUAAUAUUUGUCCAUAUGAAUGAAAAAUAUUCAUUUGAAAAAUUUUGUUCCGUGUCUUUCGUUGAGUGUUAAUGGCGACCAUAAUAAUGGGCGAAAUUCAACAAAUUGAAUAAUAUUGGCGAUUCGAUAGCGGGCGAUCUUAUUUGUUUUGGGAUUGGGGAUAUCAUUUUUCUUUAACUGGCGACCUCAAUAUGGCGAUCAUCGUAAUAGGCGAUCAUAAUAAUGGCGACAUAGAGACGGGCGAUCAUAAUACAACAGGCGACAUACAUGGCGAUAGCAAUCUUUUCGUAUAAACGAUGAUUCUAACAUAGGCGAAUCUUAACAAUUCCGAUAAAUACUUAUUUAGGGCGCGAAUGGGUUCUCAUGACCUUCAUGAUAGUACUUUUUCAAAUGCUCUCGGCAUUCCAGGAUGUGGAAAGUGUUUUUCUGUCCGGGUCUUCUAAACCAAUAAGUCCCUCGGUCGGGAGACUUUGAUGACCUUGUAAGGACCUUCCCACUUGGGCCGAGCUUCCCUUGUAUUUGGUUCUUUAGUUACAUGGUUACUUUUCCGGCAGACCGGUCGCUCGGAAGGAAUGAACGUGGUCUAACUCUUUGAUUGUGUACUUGGCGACUUGGCAUUUGUAGGCCAUUUGACCUAGCUCGGCGCUCCUCUGUUUCUCUUCAAGGAGGUCCAGGUUGACUCUAGCUCGGCCUAUUAAUUGCCCUGUCGAAAUUCGAAAACCCUGAAGCUUCGGCAUAACCCUAUUUCCACUAGUUACUGAUUCGGUUCCGAAGACCAUGGAAUACGGAGUUUCACCCGAGAAUCCGGCUAGUAGUAUGAUAAGCCAAGUAGCUUGGCAAGUUUUCUGCCCACGUCGUUUUUCGAUUUUCGAUCGUUCUAUCUCUAACUCGCCUUCAAUUUCUGAGGAUGGUACGAUUGGUUACUUCAACUUGUCAUUAGCUUGAGGAUGACCGGGCGAGGGAAAUGAUUGGAUAUGGUGAGAUUCCGACAGAAUAUCUGAACCUGUCGUUGUCGAACUGCCUUGACUGCCUUGGCGUGUCCGAGAUGAUAACCUUUGGGACCUCCGAAUCUGCAAACCAGGUGCUUCCAUACGAAGUCCCGGGUAUUUUUCUCAGUAAUCUUGGCGAUAGGCUAGCUUCUAUCCAUUUAGUAAAUAUCUUGGGCGACGAUUAUAAACUUUCUUGUGCAAAGGAUCUUGCGGUAGGGGACCCAGAAUGUCUAUCCCACUGGGCGAAUGGCCAAGGGCUGGACAUUGUACCUCCUCGUAUGAGGGAGACGGCUAACCGGGGCAAACCUCUGCAUUUGUCGCAUUUCUCUUUAUAAUGCUGCCCGCAUCUCAUCUCGUUCUAUGGGUCGGCCAAAAUAUCCUUGCGAAUAUUUUCUUCGCCAAAGAUCUUGCGCCGGUGUGAUUCCGCUAUGCCUUCGUGUAUUUCUCGUAGAACAUAUUCUGUUCUGGUCCUCUUCUGGUCGGAGACAUCUCAACAGUGGUCCUGAAAAGGACCUCUUGUAUAGCCUGCCCUUGAAAAUGCAAAAUCUUGGGGCGGAUCUGUAUGGAGCGGCGAGCUUGGAGUUUAUCCCUUGGCAAAUCCACUUUCUGGAGAUAGGCAAUAAUUUCGUCCAGCCACGUCGGAUUUUCUUACUACACAUUUGGAGGAUUUGGGUUUGGCGAUUCCAAUGCUUGGGCUGGUUAAAAAUUCCAGAGGUAUCCCUGUCAGAAAUAACUCAAAAUUGACUGCAGAUUAGCCAAGGCAUCUCCUUCUUGUUAUCUUCUCGGGGAAUCUGGUGAAUCUUAAAACUUCUUGAUCUUUGGCGGACACAAGCCUUCCCUCGCCCAAAUAAGCUAUUAUUCUUGCGUCCUUGGCGAGGUACUCCUUGGACUUGGUUUUUACCCCAGUUGUGAGUCACUGAAGACUUCCAAAGAUUGUCUCCCAACUCUGUUGCUACUCUUAGGGCCGGCAAGGAGGGCCUUCCGUAUUCGGGCCCAUUGUUGGUGGCUUUGAACCCCAUUUCUUAUGGGCAGUACUCAUUGUUGUUUGCCUGAUUGAGCUCGUAGGACGAUCCCACACCGCAGCCGUGCUGGUUAGAAGAGCCUCAACGAUAAUAUAUCCUUGGGCGAGGUCUUUUUUCUGAGGUUCUUUAAUUAGGAAUUUCCGCUCAAGAGGAGUCGACUCUGGUUGGUGGAUGUCUUCAUGGGUGGAUUCGACAAUAAAAUCCGCUUGUGGAGUGUCUUCAUGGUUUCUUUGGACUGGUAUUUUAUUGCUCUGUCCUUGGCUUGUAACUCAAUGUGGAACUCACUUAUUUCGAUGACCAUUUCAGGAGUCUGCCGACGUCUGGGUCGUUGGAGAAUCUGCUUUAGUGUUGAUCUGUCAACACUAUGAUGGAAUGGGCCUGAAGUAUGACGAAGUUUUCUGGCGGCGAUCAUUAGGCAUCAGUAGGCGAUCUUUUCAACCCUUGUAUCUGGCCUCAGGCAUCAAUAAGUUUUGCAAUAGUAUAUCGGUUUUUGGAUUUUAUCUACUUCCGCUAGUAUCUAAAAUCUCUGUACUCUGCACUUAAUGCGGUGGGCGAGGCAGAUAAUACCCUAGAUAUCUUCGUCGUCGGUGGGGAACCGAGAGUAAGGCGGGAUCCGAGAUACUCUUUUCAGCUGUUGGGACGGCAUUUCAUAUUUCCUCACCUCCAUGUGAAAGGUCUGGCUCUUUCUUCUCAGGAUUUUGAAGAACGGGAGGCACUUGUCCGUAGAUUUGGAAACGAAUCUGUUCAGGGCGGCACAUCGCCCCAGCAGUUUUCUGCACUUUCUCGUAUUCCUUGGGCAUUUCAUUGUGUAAGGGCUUGUAUUUGAGCCGGGUUCACCUCAACCUCGUUUUGUGAUCAGGAAUCCCUAGAAACUUUCUAGAAGACACUCCGAAAAAUGCAUUUAGAGGAUUCAACAUCAUUCUGUGCCGCCGCAGCAUGUCCGAAAUGCUUCUUCAAGGUGGGCGUGUGGUUUUUGUGGCGUGAGACCUUGUUAAACAACCAGCAUAUCACUAUGUAAACUUCCAUAGUCUUCCCAAUUUGUGCUUGAACAUCUUGUUUGACCAGUCUCUAAUAACGUUGCCGCCCUCCGGCAGCUGCGUUCUUUACAAACCCCGAACGGCUGACUUUUGUAGCAAUAUGGCCCCUGCCCCUGUUCCGUGAUAAAAAAGGAAGUUUUCUCACGUCAGGAGGAUACACAUUUUUGAUUUGGAUGAUACCCCGAGAAGGCAUCCAUUAAAGCUCAGAGCUCAUGCUUGGAGGUGGCGUCGAAUAUCAGAUCGAUUUUAGGCAAAGGAAAACUGUCUUUUCUUUCGGGCAAGCUUUGUUGAGGUCGGUGAUCUACGCACACCCUCCCCUUCCCCCUUUUGGGCGACGACGACAUUGGCGGCCAAUUCGGAUGUGGACUUCUUCCUCGGACAACAUUAGCUUUUGAUGAUUUUGCUUAUUUCAUAUUCAAUGACUUUCAGGCGUUCCAGAUGGGCGAACUUUCUUCUCCAUUGUCUGGCGGAUGGGGAGUAUUCAGGCUUGGUGAAACAACUUAUGCAUGGCGACUUCUGGGGUCGAUACCGGGGACGGUCCACCUGUACCCAGGGCAACACGUCUGAGUUCUUUUUGCAAGAAAUCUAUUAGGCAUACGCAAUUCGUCGGUGAGCUCUUUCCGAUCAUGACUUGACGAUCUGGGUAGCCUGGGUGAACUGAGAUUGGGACGACUUCUUCGACGAGAGGUUUGGUAUUUUCCGAUUUCCUUUCUCUGGGGUCUUCUAGGAUAAGCUGUUCUUAACCUCUUCUCUCAAUAUCCCCGUGUCAAUCGCCCGCCUUCUGUUAUUGCUAUUGAACGGACUGAACGGAAGUUCCAACCUUCAUGGCUGUAUAAAGCAUUGCCUAGUCCCCACUUCUGAUCGGCCCUUACUUCGCCUAUCCCAGUCAAGGUGGGGAAUUUCAUCUUCAGGUGGUAGUAGCAGUGAUCGCCUUGAUCCUCCCAGUGUAGGUGGCCCUAGGAUUGUCGUUAUAGGCGAUGGACAAUCUACCUAAUACAUCCUGCCAUACAUAUAACGGUUGUCUGGUGUGGUUCGGAGUUCCCAGGGUUUUGGUAGUUGAUCAUCCCAAGGGGUGCGUCGUAUUUCCUCGCUCCAAUCCGAUCAGGGGUAUGGAAAGGAUGCAAUUUUGUCCGGCCCAACUUUCAAUUUUUCUCGACGCUGAUAUGACAAGAUGUCUGCCGAGCUCCCGUUGUCGAUUAAGAUCCUCUGGACUGAAAUUGGCGAUGACGGCGCGAGACCACCAGGGCGUCGUCGUGGGGUAAGUGCACGCCUCUCCAAUCGUCCUACUGAAGGUGAUGGGUGUUUGGUCAGCAAUCGAUGGCGAGGAGAGAUUGUACACUUCCUUCCUCGUCGGCCGGUCCACGUCACUUCUGGCAUGCCUUUUCUGGAUGAAGUUGAAUAACCGCCCUAACCCGAACCGUCUGUGGAUUGUUUGUAUA
rnacentral:lncRNA from 1 species